rnacentral:rRNA from 1 species
AUACGGAGGGUGCAAGCGUUGUUCGGAAUUAUUGGGCGUAAAGAGCAUGUAGGCGGUUCGUUAAGUCUGAUGUGAAAGCCCGGGGCUCAACCCCGGAAGUGCAUUGGAUACUGGCGAACUUGAGUACGGGAGAGGAAAGUGGAAUUUCGAGUGUAGGGGUGAAAUCCGUAGAUAUUCGAAGGAACACCAGUGGCGAAGGCGGCUUUCUGGACCGAUACUGACGCUGAGAUGCGAAAGCGUGGGGAGCAAACAGGAUUAGAAACCCCAGUAGUCC